CCUCUUUGUCUUUCAGUGAGACGGACCCGCUCUCCUCUCCUCUUUCCGCCUCCGCCUGGAAACGAGCUCAGAAAGAGGGGAGCUGCGGUCACUGCAGAGGCACCACCUGCCUGAUCAGAUCAGUCUGUUCGUUUCGGGUCAGGAGGGGGUGGAAGUCUCUGGGUGAGUCCUGGACUGUCUGUGUGUACUGACCGCUCUGUAUUCGGGGUCUCGGACCCCUUUCAGCAGAGUUGGUUGCCGCGUUUCUUUCAUGGCCAGAUUAUACCAGUAGAUUAUGACUGACCUCCAUUCCUGAAACACUACAAAACUGGCUGGACUCCGGCGGUUCAUUCAGGUGGGCAGCGAGGCCGAGAGCCGGUCCAGCUCUCUGUUCAAAGCACUUCAC
ensembl:lncRNA